rnacentral:rRNA from 1 species
UACGAAGGGGGCUAGCGUUGUUCGGAAUUACUGGGCGUAAAGCGCGCGCAGGCGGCCAUCCAAGUCAGUGGUGAAAGCCCGGAGCUCAACUCCGGAACUGCCAUUGAAACUGGUUGGCUUCGAGUACGGGAGAGGUGAGUGGAAUUCCCAGUGUAGAGGUGAAAUUCGUAGAUAUUGGGAAGAACACCGGUGGCGAAGGCGGCUCACUGGCCCGUUACUGACGCUCAGGCGCGACAGCGUGGGGAUCAAA